CCCGCCCCUAGAGGCGUUGUGGGUAUGACUACUGUGUCACGUGUGUAUCAGUAAGUGACAGAGAGUGUUCUGACCUGUGUUAGUAGCCUAACACC
ensembl:snoRNA Gm26358 predicted gene, 26358